rnacentral:tRNA from 1 species
AAAAAGAUAAGCUAACUUAAGCUAAUAGGUUCAUACCCUAUUUAUAAAGGUUAAUCCUUUUCUUUUUA